ACUUUAUAUUAAUGUCAUUAUAACGUCAGCUGGUUGCCUGGGAUUUGAAUGUGUUGUAACAUAAAAAAAGGAAGAAUUCUAAAUAAUGGCGACGAACGGUCAGGACGAAGUAACGCUUAUCGAGAAAUUGAAGGACAGCGAAAAUUUUUCCUUGUAAAAAUUUCAAGUUUCUAUUCUAUUUAAGGCACUUGGAUUAUACGAGAUAGUGACAGGAUUAUCUGUGUUGACGGAAGGAAUCACGGAACAAGCUAAAACAGAAUGGAUCAAAAAGGAUGCACGUGCUCAAAAAAUAAUAAUAACAACGGAGAGAGGCAACUUUUGACGCACAUUAAUUUGUAAAACAUUGUGUGAAAUGUUUAAGCGUAUUUGUGCAAUGUAUGAAAGAGACACACAACAACAAAAAUGUUUAUUACUUCAGGAAUUUUUCAAUUUUUUUUGUCAGAAAGGUUCUGAUAUUGGCUCACACGUGAGUAAGCUUGAAGCAUUAGCAUAUAAACUAAAAAUACUGAUUGUUGAUAUUGAUGAAACUAUGCUUAUAUCGAAAAUACUUGCAACGUUGCCUGAAAAGUUUAAACACUUUGUUUCUGCAUGGGAUUCCACAGGUCAAGAAGAAAAGACACUUUCUAACCUUAUUUUUAGGUUAUUGUUAGAAGAAAAUAGAACAUUAGCAGCGGAUCAAACAAGAAGCUGUAGCAUUUAAAACAAGCGAGAAAAAAUGCUACAAGUGCAAUAACCCAGGUCAUUUUGCGAAAGCAUUGUUCCUCAAAAAGAAGAAUUGAGAGAAAAGUGGAUCAGUAUAAUAGGACAUCGAGUUCCUAAAAGCAGUUCUGUUUGCAGUGACCAUUUCACAGACACUGACUUUAGAUAUAAGGUAAUAAAAGAUGUGCCAAAAAGAUACUUACUACCUGAUGCUGUUCCCAGUUUACUUUAUCCGAUACAACAAACAAUGAUACUUACAAGUAGUAAAUCGUUACGUGAAAAGAAUACUGAACAAGCAGUUGGUAACAGUGAUAUUAAUGAUAAAUAUCCUACAUCAGAGGUUGAUUUAAAACAAUCUGCUGUUUCCAGUCCAGCAGCAUUAAUUGAAACAAUAAUUAGCAGUAAUACUAAUGAUAAAUAUCCUACAUCAGAGAUUGAUUCAAAACAAUCUGCUGUUUCCAGUUCAGCAGCAUUAAUUGAAACAAUAAUUAGCAGUGAUAUUAAUGAUAAAUAUCUUAUAUCAGAGGUUGAUUCGAAACAAUCUGCUGUUUCCAGUCCAGCAGCAUUAAUUAAUGAAGAUCACUAAUUAAUAAAGAUUAUAUAUAUAAUAUCACAAUCGUUUUGUUGUAUUUAACAAUCAAUAGAUACGUAAUUCAUGGAAAUACUAUUUCUUAAGCUAUGUUUUUUUUUAUUUAAAAUCAAUUAUAUGGAAAGUUAUUAUAGAGAGUUAUUUUAUAAAGUUUUAUAAACUCGGAAAAAAAUGGAUUAGAUCUA